GACGAACGCUGGCGGCGUGCUUAACACAUGCAAGUCGAACGGAAAGGCCCUGCUUUUGUGGGGUGCUCGAGUGGCGAACGGGUGAGUAACACGUGAGUAACCUGCCCUUGACUUUGGGAUAACUUCAGGAAACUGGGGCUAAUACCGGAUAGGAUCUCCUGCUUCAUGGUGGGGGUUGGAAAGUUUCGGCGGUUGGGGAUGGACUCGCGGCUUAUCAGCUUGUUGGUGGGGUAGUGGCUUACCAAGGCUUUGACGGGUAGCCGGCCUGAGAGGGUGACCGGCCACAUUGGGACUGAGAUACGGCCCAGACUCCUACGGGAGGCAGCAGUGGGGAAUAUUGCACAAUGGGCGGAAGCCUGAUGCAGCAACGCCGCGUGCGGGAUGACGGCCUUCGGGUUGUAAACCGCUUUCGCCUGUGACGAAGCGUGAGUGACGGUAAUGGGUAAAGAAGCACCGGCUAACUACGUG
rnacentral:rRNA from 1 species